rnacentral:rRNA from 1 species
GUGGGGGGGUGCUAUACUGCAAGUCGAGCGGAAGAUGGGAGCUUGCUCCCUGAUGUUAGCGGCGGACGGGUGAGUAACACGUGGGUAACCUGCCUGUAAGACUGGGAUAACUCCGGGAAACCGGGGCUAAUACCGGAUGCUUGUUUGAACCGCAUGGUUCAAACAUAAAAGGUGGCUUCGGCUACCACUUACAGAUGGACCCGCGGCGCAUUAGCUAGUUGGUGAGGUAAUGGCUCACCAAGGCGACGAUGCGUAGCCGACCUGAGAGGGUGAUCGGCCACACUGGGACUGAGACACGGCCCAGACUCCUACGGGAGGCAGCAGUAGGGAAUCUUCCGCAAUGGACGAAAGUCUGACGGAGCAACGCCGCGUGAGUGAUGAAGGUUUUCGGAUCGUAAAGCUCUGUUGUUAGGGAAGAACAAGUACCGUUCGAAUAGGGCGGUACCUUGACGGUACCUAACCAGAAAGCCACGGCUAACUACGUGCCAGCAGCCGCGGUAAUACGUAGGUGGCAAGCGUUGUCCGGAAUUAUUGGGCGUAAAGGGCUCGCAGGCGGUUCCUUAAGUCUGAUGUGAAAGCCCCCGGCUCAACCGGGGAGGGUCAUUGGAAACUGGGGAACUUGAGUGCAGAAGAGGAGAGUGGAAUUCCACGUGUAGCGGUGAAAUGCGUAGAGAUGUGGAGGAACACCAGUGGCGAAGGCGACUCUCUGGUCUGUAACUGACGCUGAGGAGCGAAAGCGUGGGGAGCGAACAGGAUUAGAUACCCUGGUAGUCCACGCCGUAAACGAUGAGUGCUAAGUGUUAGGGGGUUUCCGCCCCUUAGUGCUGCAGCUAACGCAUUAAGCACUCCGCCUGGGGAGUACGGUCGCAAGACUGAAACUCAAAGGAAUUGACGGGGGCCCGCACAAGCG